CAAUUUUAUUCACCUUUUGAUGCCGUGUUUCAAUAUCUCUAUACAUUUUGCCUUGAUACUGAGGAUUUUUCAAAUUAACUUUUUUAGAUGAUUUAAAAAAAAUACACAAGGCCUACACAUACUAUGGCCAAUUUGAAUAUAAAUGUUAUAAACGUCUAAUCAAAUUUGACCUGCCUUUAAACUAUGAAAGUGAUUAGCCUACAUUUUAGAUUAGUUGUAUGAAAAAACAUACUGCACCUACAGUAGUAGGAAUUGUACUAGAAAAAGUCAGGUUUGGUCAAUCUUAAGGAAAUCAAAAUGUAAAACACUUUAUUUCUAAUUGAGUAGAUUAAAUCAUUUCUGAAAAGUAUUCAUACUAUAUCAGAGUUAAUUAUUUGAACCACAGUCUAAAGAAAUUAAGCUUGCCAAAUGUCCAGGAUGUUUUUGUACGAGCAGUAAUGGGGAUUGUAUCACUGUGGUACACUUUUGGUAGCAGCACCAGACUUGAUGUUGGAAGUAACAGUGUCCCCACCCUCACUGUCCUGCCCCCCUCUAGUGAGGAGCUGUCCAGUACAGCAACAGCCACACUGAUGUGUCUGGCCAACAAGGGCUUCCCCUCAGACUGGACCAUGAGCUGGAAAGUGGACGGGACCAGUAAGAACCAGGAGACCAGUCCCGGGGUCCUGGAGAAGGACGGCCUGUACAGCUGGAGCAGCACCCUGACUAUCACUGCCCAGGAGUGGACCAAGGCAGGAGAGGUGACCUGUGAAGCCCAGCAGAAAUCCCAGACUCCAGUCACCAAGACCCUGAGGAGGGCUGACUGUUCUGGGUAGGACCCCUCAGUCACACACCCCUGUGGAGAGAGGCUGCUGGUUCCUCUGCUUUCACUCUGUUCUGAGAUCAGAUGUUCUCUGUCUGAUUGAUCACUGACAUGUAGACAAACAGAGGGCUUUGCUUGAGUUCAUGUGUCAAUCAUCUCUGUAGACUGAGGUUGAAUCAGUGUUAUAUUUUAUGUGUUCUGCUUUAUUACUAUUAGAUACUGUAGGAAUGUUUCCUUUGAUGCUUUGAUGAAUAGAUGAAAAUAAAGAUUUCCCUUUGGAACACA